GACGAACGCUGGCGGCGUGCUUAACACAUGCAAGUCGAGCGGUAAGGCCCUUCGGGGUACACGAGCGGCGAACGGGUGAGUAACACGUGGGUGACCUGCCCUCCACUUCGGGAUAAGCCUGGGAAACUGGGUCUAAUACCGGAUAGGACCUCGGAUCGCAUGGUUUGGGGUGGAAAGCUUUUUCGGUGGGGGAUGGGCCCGCGGUCUAUCAGCUUGUUGGUGGGGUGAUGGCCUACCAAGGCGACGACGGAUAGCCGGCCUGGGAGGGUGAUCGGCCACACUGGGACUGAGACACGGCCCAGACUCCUACGGGAGGCAGCAGCGGGGAAUCUUGCGCAAUGGGCGGAAGCCUGACGCAGCAACGCCGCGUGGGGGAUGACGGCCUUCGGGUUGUAAACCUCUUUCGCGAUCGACGAAGCUUCCACUUGUUGUGGGGGUGACGGUAGGUCGAGAAGAAGCACCGGCCAACUACGUGCCAGCAGCCGCGGUAAAAC
rnacentral:rRNA from 1 species